UACGUAGGCAGCGAGCGUUGUUCGGAGUUACUGGGCGGAAAGAGUGCGUAGGCGGUUUUCUAAGUUUGGUGUGAAAUCUCCCGGCUUAACUGGGAGGGUGCGCCGAAAACUGGAAGGCUUGAGUAUGGGAGAGGUAAGCGGAAUUCCUGGUGUAGCGGUGAAAUGCGUAGAUAUCAGGAGGAACACCUGCGGUGUAGACGGCUUACUGGACCAUAACUGACGCUGAGGCACGAAAGCGUGGGUAGCAAACAGG
rnacentral:rRNA from 1 species